GAUCAUGGCUCAGGACGAACGCUGGCGGCGCGCCUAACACAUGCAAGUCGAACGGGGAAGAGGAGAGCUUGCUUUUCUCUUUCUAGUGGCGGACGGGUGAGUAACACGUGAGCAACCUGCCUUUCAGAGGGGGAUAACGUUUGGAAACGAACGCUAAUACCGCAUGACAUCGCUGAGGGACAUCCCUUGGGGAUCAAAGGAGGAAUCCGCUGAAAGAUGGGCUCGCGCCCGAUUAGAUAGUUGGCGGGG
rnacentral:rRNA from 1 species